AGAGACAGGUCAUGAAGGAGCAGGCAGGGGUUAGACAGUACAGAGAGAGGUCAUUAAGGAGCAGGUAGGGGUUAGACAGUACAGAGACAGGUCAUUAAGGAGCAGGUAGGGGUUGGACAGUACAGAGACAGGUCAUUAAGGAGCAGGUAGGGGUUGGACAGUACAGAGACAGGUCAUUAAGGAGCAGGUAGGGGUUGGACAGUACAGAGACAGGUCAUUAAGGAGCAGGUAGGGGUUGGACAGUACAGAGACAGGUCAUUAAGGAGCAGGUAGGGGUUAGACAGUACAGAGACAGGCCAUUAAGGAGCAGGUAGGGGUUAGACAGUACAGAGACUGGUCAUUAAGGAGCAGGUAGGGGUUAGACAGUACAGAGACAGGUCAUUAAGGAGCAGGUAGGGGUUAGACAGUACAGAGACAGUUCAUUGAGGGGCCACUCACACUAGGGGCGUUUGCCUGUUCCGUGCUGCAGGAAGAUUCAGCACAGUUCCCCCCCUCCCCACUCCCCCUGCUGGCCCGUGGUCACACUGCUCUCAAAGGCCAUGGCCUGGGCACGAUUGCUCCUUCAUACAUACGUCAUCACGUUGUAAUACCAUAAACACGCCAUCACCAAGCGUUCCCGGCCAUAACAACGGUGGAGAACAACAACGUGAAUGCUGUCGUCUGCCCAAAUUUCAAGUAAACACUCGACUUCACUAUCGC
ensembl:lncRNA